rnacentral:piRNA from 1 species
UGAGUAUAAUCUUCAAAAUCGUCGCCGGCU